AACGCACAUUGCGCCCUUUGGCAUUCCGAAGGGCAUGCCUGUUCGAGCGUCAUUACACCAAUCAAGCCUGGCUUGGUAUUGGGCGACGGGGACCGCAAGGCCCCCGCGCCUUAAUGACACCGGCGGGACGGACCGUAUCUCAGCGUUGUGGUAAAAAGCCGCUGGCGAGACGGGCUCGGCCGUGCCGUUAAACAACCCCAUCAAAGGUUGACCUCGGAUCAGGUAGGGAUACCCGCUGAACUUAA
rnacentral:misc_RNA from 1 species